CUGCAGCCUGGAUCCACAUUAUAUUAGUGAUGCUGGGAGUUAUAAUUCUCUGCAGUACAAUCAUCAUCCUUGAGAUCUGGAUCAGACUCUCCAACAAACCACAAGAGGAGAAGAAAGAAGAACCAGAAUAUGUCAACAAUCCCAACAGGACGAAGGCAGCAUGACCCAGAAGUACAAGGAAGAUGUCAAGUUUGCUGUCAUUGGAAGUCCUACUUAUUAAAGGGGCAAUGCCAAAGCACUGAAGCACUACUAAUCCAUUCUUUUCUUCAUAUUGUUCUAGAUUUUUGAGUUUCAUCUCCCCCCAUUGCAUCACAAACUUGUACAAAAAUAUGUUUCAACACUGGAGCUCAUUCUGGAAUAUUAGAUUAAAUGCAUCAAGAAAAUAUUGAAUUUACUUGACAUAACUGGCACAUUUAAGACUUAAUGUAAUAUAUUUUACACAGUUUCAGGGUGAUUUCUGGUUUCACUUUACCAUCUUAGAUUGUAAUUAUGU